GUGCUUGCAUCGGCAGCACAUGUACUAAAAUUGAAAUGAUACAGAGAAGAUUAGCAUGACCCCUCACAAGGAUGACACUCAAAUUCAUGAAGUGUUCCAUAUGUUU
rnacentral:snRNA from 1 species